rnacentral:tRNA from 1 species
GCGGGCGUGGCGGAACUGGCAGACGCGCGGGGUUUAGGUCCCCGUGGCCCUUAUAAGGCCGUGCAGGUUCGAAUCCUGUCACCCGCA